AUUGAACGCUGGCGGCAGGCCUAACACAUGCAAGUCGAACGGAGUGGCGAACGGGUGAGUAACACGUGGGUGAUCUGCCCUGCACUUCGGGAUAAGCUUGGGAAACUGGGUCUAAUACCGGAUAGUGUAGGAUGAGCUCGCGGCCUAUCAGCUUGUUGGUGGGGUAAUGGCCUACCAAGGCGGCGACGGGUAGCCGGCCUGAGAGGGUGUACGGCCACAUUGGGACUGAGAUACGGCCCAGACUCCUACGGGAGGCAGCAGUGGGGAAUAUUGCACAAUGGGCGCAAGCCUGAUGCAGCGACGCCGCGUGGGGGAUGAAGGCCUUCGGGUUGUAAACUCCUUUCGCUAGGGACGCGGUACCUAGAUAAGAAGCACCGGCUAACUACGUGCCAGCAGCCGCGGUAAUUC
rnacentral:rRNA from 1 species